GAUGAACGCUGGCGGCGUGCCUAAUACAUGCGAGUCGAGCGAACAGACGAGGAGCUUGCUCCUCUGACGUUAGCGGCGGACGGGUGAGUAACACGUGGAUAACCUACCUAUAAGACUAGGAUAACUUCGGGAAACCGGAGCUAAUACCGGAUAAUAUAUUGAACCGCAUGGUUCAAUAGUGAAAGACGGUUUUGCUGUCACUUAUAGAUGGAUCCGCGCCGCAUUAGCUAGUUGGUAAGGUAACGGCUUACCAAGGCAACGAUGCGUAGCCGACCUGAGAGGGUGAUCGGCCACACUGGAACUGAGACACGGUCCAGACUCCUACGGGAGGCAGCAGUAGGGAAUCUUCCGCAAUGGGCGAAAGCCUGACGGAGCAACGCCGCGUGAGUGAUGAAGGUCUUCGGAUCGUAAAACUCUGUUAUUAGGGAAGAACAAAUGUGUAAGUAACUAUGCACGUCUUGACGGUACCUAAUCAGAAAGCCACGGCUAACUACGUG
rnacentral:rRNA from 1 species